GUCAUUAGGUUCUUGUUACAGUUUGACUCUUUCACGAAUUCACUCCCUUUCUUUGCGAGUCCUCACGUUUGGCUUAAGGGAUUGAUAGAAACAUGAUGGUAGCUAUAUUUAAUGACCUAAAACCAUCAUUAUAAUUACAGCGAAAAACAGGAGAUAACUAAGAGGGUUUAAGAGUGUGCCAUGUACUUCAGUGAGGCUGACACUAAAUCACCUUGAAUUUAGUCUUUGCUCUCGAGCAGAUCCUGCUGUGAACUGCCUUGAGUGACCGCUCUUGGGGAUACCAAGUUGCUGUGCAGAGACAGCUUCCGAAUAAAAAGGGCGAGGGAGCGGGGACGGCGUACCUGGGGCUGUGUGCAGUGCAUCUAGUGAGCUCUUGGAUUGGGAACCUCCUUGGCAAGGAAGGGGCAGCCUUACUCUUACAGGUAGAUUCUUAAAAUCUGUGAUUUUGUAGGCUAGGAAGUAGUAACCUGUUUUGUCCAUUUAUGGGAUGAGAAGGCUCAACAGUGGCUGGUUUCUGAAACUAUUUUGCGGUUCAGAAUUAAAACUCUGGUUUCUUCUGCAGUGAAGAUAUAACAGACAAGAUAUGUGUUUGUGGAUAAAUGCCAGGAAGUCUACUCAAGGAUCGCUCACAAAUUAUUCCAUUUGGUGAAGUUAUUAUAUGGGCAGUAACCUUUUCUCAAGAAUUUUUAGCAGAUAGAUUUAGUGUCAAAACAAUAUAAUAGACUGUAUUAGCUUCUCCAGUCUAUCAUGUUUGUUACCUACUUUUUAAUGCAUGCCUUCUACUCAUUGAAUUGAAGGACCUUAUUGAUCUCUUUGCAGCUGAACUGAUUAUUGGGGUAAGAUAGAGUCUUCCUGAAAUAAGCCAAGACAAAUUAUUCAUUUAAAAUAUUCUUAUUUUAGUAAACUUCUGUUUAACGUCCAGGGUUAAUUAAAAAAAAAUGUAUUGCUGGUGGGCUGGCAUAAACUUAUUAAAUCAGAAAGAAACUGAGUUCAGGCUAGUACGUUUCAUGUCAACUUUUGUAGUGUUCUCGGGGAAAAUAGCUGCAUAUACUUAUUAAUAAUCCAGAAUUUUAAAACAACAGCGAAGCAAUCCAACUGGGAAAAUAACCCUCAAACUGAGUACGUAUUCUACAACUUUGGAUUGCUUGCACAUGCCUAAAUCAGGUAUCUGGGACUUCAUAGGUCUGUGGUUAUUGGUUAAAAACCUCUCUCUAUCAUUAGGUAUUAGCUAGUUGGUGUCCGUAGCUUGCAUGGGUUGGAGUUGGGGGGUUUGGUGUGCUCUCCAGAAGGGCUGUGCUUCUUUCCUGUGCCUGCAGGGUGAAUGAUGCAUGUGAUAGCUGGCAUCUUUGCUAAUGCUGACUAGAGAGAGCAAGGAUUAAAUAGUCCUAACAGCUGAGGGGAUUUUCAAAGGCAUGAGUGGUAUUUCGACCCAUACCUCCUGCUGAUUCCUACUGGUUUUCCAGGCUUGCUUACAGAUUGCUGGUCCAGCGUGAGCCUGCGUCCCCACCACUCUCCCUGGACCAGCCACCUGGGCUGUUUGAUGGCUGGCAGACUGGGGGGAUGUUCAGAGCUCCAAAUGCCAGCGCCCCAGUUACACUGAUGGGAUGGAGGAGCUCACGCCUGGCAGGAAAGGAAGGAGCAAUAGACUUCUGUGGAGAUCGUUUGAUCUUGUUGUUCGUGCUGUGACAGGCUUGAAGGAGCGAGCGGGCGGCUAACAAAGGUGUAGCCUGACUUUUUGGAGCUCGGUACCUCUAAUCCUGACUUGGCCUUGGGUCUGAAGCCUAGAGGAGUAGGUCUAAAAUGUCCUAUGAAACAGCAGCCAGAGAGCGCAGAAGGCUUGAGUGGGAGAACUUUAUGAAAAAACAAAUGAGCAGUAAAAUAACUGCGUGAGGCAUGAGGACAGGAGGUUAGUUAUGAACCUAUUCAGGACAGGUGAAACUAAGUGUUAGAGAACACAAGGAAGACUAUAAGAAAUCCAGUACUGGAUUUAGAUGGACAGUGUUGACGUUGUUAGCCAUGUGGCAUUUGUGCAAGAUGUUCUUAGACGCUAUUGUGAAGCUGUCCAUUUUGUCAGCAGGCUCAGAGCAAACGCUUCCCCGCCCUCCAAAUCCAAUGGCUAUUUUCUAAGUGGUUUUAGCCUGCAAUGUGACAAGCAGUGUACUUUUGGCCACUGAUUUUGCUUUGUGGGCUAUGGGAUUCUGUUUGUUCCUGCUGCCCUGGAGUUUCCAACGUGGACGGAGCCCUUUGCGGCGCAUCGCCUCCCUCACAGUGUGGGCAGAAAUCGUAGCUGCGGUUUUGUUCCUCCAGAGGAGAAAAUCCAGCCUUUCACCAGACGUUGCAGCUUAACUGAAGCAGCAGGAACUAUCAAGAAUGCCUGUAAUAUGGAUAUCUCAUGUAUAGUAAAAUGUCAUUUUCAAGCACUUUCUGAACUAUCCCUCCCACUAAUGAAGCAGCCCUGAAAUUCUGCAUGACUUUCUCACAGCUUGUCGCGCUUCGCGUAACCUGGCUUUUGAUCGUGAUGUCGCUUCAGGUAACGCCUCGCGAGGCGAACGGUGUGUUGUGUGCUGAGAUCGGGUGGUGGCCUCCAGGAGCUAGCAGUGAAGGGCUCUUUGAGAUGUGGUCUUUGUGCUUGUCAAAGCAAAAUAACUGCUGCAGUGACAGUAGUAGUUGGCUAUCCAAACUCACCUCAGCCUGCGGAGAAGGAAGACUUGAACGUUAUGCAAAAAGUCCUGUUUAAUCUGAAAGCUGUCCUAGACGAGAUAUUAAGGUUGAGUAAUCAUUUUUACUGUCUUUCAGUUUAGGUUCUUAAUUCAGUUCAGUGAUUUCCUAAAUGCUUGAGUGGGUUUUGGUAUUUUGGUAGCUCUCACCUGAGCUGCGGGCAGCGGAAGUGAAGCUCUGCCAGGACACCGUCUGCUGCUUGUCACCGUGAGCCGCGGUAGCGCUCCGCAAGGCUGCUCUCGCCGCGUGCAGGGCAGUGCCUUUCUGCGGCUGUCCUCGUCCGCCCGAGAGCCUGGGCUCUGCAGCCGAAUUUCACAGUUCAGUGUAGUACCUCCCGGGCUCUCCUACCGAAUUUAAAACCAGGCAGGCUUACAGCCGCACGCGGUGGUCCAGGAGGGCAGGAGGACUGCGCACACGAGCAGGCAGCUGGCUGGAGCGAGCCUGGCUCAGCGCCCACGGCACCACCUGGAAAGCCCUCGGAGCUGGGGCAAGGGCAGACCCCUCCGCACACGCGUUUUUCUCACCCAGAGAGAAAGCCCGGAUCUCCGUGUUGAACACGCAUGGCCGGAGACGACGUUGGGGCUGUGUGCCGCUGUAACAAAGGCUUUUCUGCAAGCGUGCAUCCCAUCUUCCUUUGGCCUCACUCUCCCCUCCUCAGUGUUUGCUUUCUGGGAGCGUCGGAGUGACUGAGGGCGACAGCCUGGCCCCAGGCAGCCCUGUGAUUUGCCAUUGCCUUCGAUGGAGUCAGUAUUUCACCUGUGCUAGCAGUGACAGAGACUGACUGUCGGAGCCGCACGCACGAGCUUUCACAGAAAUCAAUUCUCACGUGCAGCAUUAAUGUUGGAAACGCUCUUGCUCACCUACCUAAUGGUUGGUCAGGCCCAACAGCCUGUGACUAAUGGCCAUUCACCGUUAUACAGCAUGGCCUGGUUAUAAAAACUUCCCAUUAGUCCGUAACAAAAAAAUCUCAAGCUGUUAAUUGAUCCACACGUCUUUUUGAGGAAAUCAGAGUAAUCAGAUGGACGCUCCUUGCACAGAAAGGCAAGUUACAGUUAGCUGGUGCAUUGCUUUUGUGAUUCAUCUGCUCUGGUCUACUUUUUUUUUUGUUAUUUAUUUUUUCAUGAGGGGCCAGUGUUGUAAAUCAAAGAUUUGCGAAAUAAGCCUGUGCUUAAAAUGACCCACAUUAAAAAUCAAUUGCCACCUUUCUUGUCUUCCUUGGCAUCUCUUCCAUUUCUGUGAGGAGCAGGCGCAUGUUAAAAGGCUGGCAUACAGCUACAGAGCCAGCCGUUAGCUCAUGCUCUGCCUCUGCCAAUGCUGAAGGUCAGCUACUGGAAAAAGUUACAAAAACUGGCUGUUACAGCCAGGUAUGAUCCUGCAGAAAGAGCCUUUAUUGAGAGCUGUUAUCCUUUGCUCAUUGCUGUUGAAGUCAGCGUGACUCUGCCCUGGAAAAACUGUCUGUGCUGCCGAUGACUUGCUGAACGCAGACGGUAAGAUGCGUGCAGGUUGGAUUUUUUGCCAUUCAAGUUUUCCUGCAGUAAACAUCCUCUUUUUUUUUGACAGAUGGGACCAUUCCUGACAAUUGUUAGCACAGUCGGUCUAUGCGGCGUCUGUGGUGUUUGCACCCCCCGUGUGACCCAGCGGGAGCAGCAGCGCCGUUAGACGCGUCCAGCUGCCACGGGACUCCAGCUAAGUGCGGGCUGCUUCGAUAUAGACCAAAAAAGAUGACGGUGGAAAAUGGUCACUUGACACCGUAUGAAUAGAAGAAAUACAACUAUUUCUAAACAAAAAUAUUCCACUGUUUAUGUCCUGGGUGCAUAUUUGUGUGUCAUUAAAAUAACUGUUUGUAAUUUUUCAUACCUCUUAAGGCCUAACUGAAAAUUAUUCAGGCAGGUGUACGGCAGGAGUUACUGCCCCUUUGCAGAGAGAACGCUUUUAAGGAAUACUGGCUGGCACUUCCACAUUAAACGCGUAGUUAAAGUGGAAAAGCAGCAUAGGCUUGCGGCACAUGACAGCUAUAUGUGUUUGACCCUGCGUUUCAUGUAUACAUCCAAUAAAAAUCACAUCAAUAAAAAGAAAUCUAAAUUGGCUUCUGCAUUAGAAAAAUACACAUUGAGACAUUACAGAUUUGGGGUAUCUUUUUAGUACUGUUUCCUUUCUCCAUGCCUGUCUUCCUAAAAGUGCAUUGUAUUGUUGCAACAUGCACAGUGAUUUCAAAUGAUUAAUACCUUGAGAGCAUAAACUCAUAACAAACCAUUUUUAUCCAUUAUCUAAAAUCAACUUUUAAUUAGAAGAAUACUUCAUAUUUGCUUUACAAUACUAAAUUACCCUGAUUAUUUUAAAAUUGUGUGUGAUGUUGGCACAUACUAAUAAGGCAUUUAUAUUUCUGUUGGACCUUUAUUAUCUGUCUGAAACAUGAAUUUCAAUUAUUAAGCAUUAGUAAGUAUUUAGGAAUGUCCUGAUUUGUUGGUCUGCCAUUAAUUCUGCCAUUAAUUUUGCCAGGAAUUAUUUUUUUUUUUUGGUAGCCUGUAUUUUAGAAGAAAAACUGUAUUGUAUUUGCACAAAAUUUGUAUUUUUUUAACCCAGAUAGGAGGGGUUCACAGGAACCACAGUACAACUGAAAGUUGGAUCAAGCUACAGUAAAGGUUUCAUAUGGGAGCAUAUUAUGUGUUCUCAAAUUUAAUGCAUCUGGUUAGUGUGUCAUAGGGGCUAACCUGACUCUCGUAGUGCGCUCUCCCGAUCCAUGCCAGUUACUUUGAUGUUUUAUAUUUAACUCAGGAGGCUGACGGUCGUCUACAGACACUCUCUUUCUCAAGAACAUGCAUGUCAACACGCGACUACAAUGAAAAUGGAAGUGCACCUAUAUGUGGCUUGCUCUCAGCCUCGGCAAGCUGCCUGAUCCCCCGUAACGCUGAUGAAAGGGUGUCGCUGUGCCUUCCUCACCGAACGGUUAAAGGCAAGCAGUUUUUCCUUUAUGAUAAUCUCAGGAACAGUGCACUUAAAAUGAGGCUCAAUAACAAUGAAGUUAGACAUUCAGUACAUUGGAAUAUUUUAUUUUGACUUUACAUGCGGUGUUAAAAACCCAAAGAACAUAUUAUUUACACAUCCACAAUACAAGUUUACAAGAUAUCUAUACAUGUUAAAGUACUCUAUAGUAUAGAGCAGCUUCAUUUAAGGGUUACUUUUUUAUGCCGUACCAUUAAAAAAGAUACAAUCUGCGUUUACCUUUGCACAAAUGGAUAAAGCAUCUUUUAUUAUUAAAUUAACAGAAUAAAGACUAGGUUGAAUGUUAGAAAUUUCAACAUAAAUACUGAGAGAACUCACAUUACCAUCUACAAGGCAGCACAAUGUUACAGGAGGUUAUCAGGGUUCACAUACAUUUAUCUUUCGGUUUCACACAAGUCUGAAUUAAUAUUUGUAAAGUGAAUUCAGAUCAGCUUUUGUCUUUUGACAACUGAGUACAUUUUUAAUAGUUAUUAAUCUUGUAGUGUUUUAGUUGCAAGACAGAAGUGUUUAGGAAGAGAGAUCGUUGAUGUUUGGAUCCAGAGGUCUGAGGAAAUAAAUGUCCCUUACAGCCUUACCAUUAAAAAUGACUACUUCUAUCCUUUAUUCUUUGUUCUGUAACAGAGAUCCGGUUUUCAGUGACUAACCUUUUCUCCCCUUCAAACAGAUAGAUGAUAUAAGUCUCCAUCAUCUCUGAAACCCAUUUGCAGUUACUUGUCCCGCUAAUUCAUGAAUAUUCCUCUGCACUGGUUAUUUCUAUAGUUAUGUUCAAUAAACAACGUGGUAGUGUGCAGUUUGCAAGCUAAAAUAGCCAUCUGUGUUGAACAUCAGCUGCAAGUGGAUACUGUAAAACCUCCUAAAUGGCUUACACAACUUUAGCAGGUGUUCCAUUACCCUAGAAACCUCAUUUGAUUUCACAUUAUAACUGUUUGAUCCUUCAGAGAGCUGGAGUGGAAUGUUUAUCAUGGUAAGGUGAUUUACUGCUGCUAUCGUCUCGGAUUGUAGGCUGCCUUUAGUUAUCAUUAAUUAUUCUUGCUUUUCAUCUUUUUUUUUUGGGGGGGGGUGCUGUUGAGAGGUUUUACACUGGCACUCGGGAAAUAUGUGCUAUAGUGAGAACACUUGACAGUUUUUUUUUUUUUUUAGUACUUUUAUCAUUUGCAUGAAUAAGGCACAAAAUGCACAGAUUCAGGUAAACUCACACAUAAUAUUUACAGAAUAUUGUCAUUACCUGCAUGACUUUGGAAAAAAAAAUUACAUUACACAACAAAAACAAAUUGAUUGCACUACUGUUGAGUUUUCACAGACUGCUUCUGCCAGGCCAAUUAAUGUUUCUUCCUUUCUACUGACAAGAGUCUAUCAGAGUGUAGGGCAUUAUUAAAUGCAACAAAAAAAACAUAACCUUCUGUAGUUACACAGGCCUCUGCCAAGUGAAUUGUUAUUAGCUGCCCUCAAUGAGAAGUACAGGGGCUCGAGUUCACAGUGGCCAGGUAGUGGCUGGGGAAGCACAGUAGAACUCCCCAUUCCAGCCCAAAACAUUAGAUUUGAAAUGUACAGCUCUGAAUCAAUAGCAGCAUACCAGAGUUAUGAAGAAUUAAACGUUUAUGCACUCUUUCACUGGGUGACUUAUUUCAUCGAGGCGAAUCGCUCAGAAGGCUGCCAGAGAUGCGCAGUUCUUCCUUAGCUGUCUCCGCGCUGAACCCAAACGCUGCAGAAGGAAGAGUCAUCUGUUUGUUCAGUCAUGCUCAAUGUAAACAAUUCCAUAGCAUAAAAGAUGCAAUGGGAAUCUAAAUACAUCCUAGUGUGUACAGUACACACGCACAUCCACACACGCACAGCUUUAUCUGUGGCACAAACAAAAUGCCACACACAUGGAGAGGAAAAAAAAAAAAAAAA